UACGUAGGUGACCAGCGUUGUCCGGAUUUACUGGGCGUAAAGAGCUCGUAGGCGGUUUGUCGCGUCUGCUGUGAAAACUCGGGGCUUAACUCCGGGCCUGCAGUGGGUACGGGCAGACUAGAGUGCGGUAGGGGAGACUGGAAUUCCUGGUGUAGCGGUGAAAUGCGCAGAUAUCAGGAGGAACACCGGUGGCGAAGGCGGGUCUCUGGGCCGUAACUGACGCUGAGGAGCGAAAGCGUGGGGAGCGAACAGG
rnacentral:rRNA from 1 species